rnacentral:rRNA from 1 species
AAAUUGAAGAGUUUGAUCAUGGCUCAGAUUGAACGCUGGCGGCAGGCCUAACACAUGCAAGUCGAACGGUAACAGAAAGCAGCUUGCUGCUUUGCUGACGAGUGGCGGACGGGUGAGUAAUGUCUGGGAAACUGCCUGAUGGAGGGGGAUAACUACUGGAAACGGUAGCUAAUACCGCAUAACGUCGCAAGACCAAAGAGGGGGACC